rnacentral:rRNA from 1 species
GAUGAACGCUAGCGGCAGGCCUAAUACAUGCAAGUCGAACGGGAUUAAGAGGCUUGCUUCUUAUGAGAGUGGCGCACGGGUGCGUAACACGUAUGCAACCUACCUUCAACUGGGGGAUAGCCUUCCGAAAGGGAGAUUAAUACCGCAUAACAUAAUUGAGUGGCAUCACUUGAUUAUCAAACGUCAGGGUUGAAGAUGGGCAUGCGUCCGGUUAGUUUGUUGGUGAGGGAACGGCUCACCAAGACUACGAUCGGUAGGGGAUCUGAGAGGAUGGCCCCCCACACUGGUACUGAAACACGGACCAGGCUCCUACGGGAAGCAGCAGUAAUGAAUAUUGGUCAAUGGACGGAAGUCUGAACCAGCCAUUCCGCGUGCAGGAAGACGGUCCUCUGCAUUGUAAACUGCUUUUGUUAGGGAAGAAACUUCCGUACGUGUACGGGACUGACGGUACCUAAAGAAUAAGGAUCGGCUAACUCCGUGCCAGCCGCCGCCGUAACAC